AGAAGUUGAAACAUAUAUUUUAUGUCAUGCAUCCAAGUACCUGUUUAAACAAGGUUCCAAAAAUGAAAAUUUUCUACUUGUUAUUAUGUCAGAGUUUCAUAGGAGCUCUUUCCAAAUCACUUUGUAGGAGCAAAGAAGGCAAUGUUAUAUGCUGUUUUGGAUACAUCUGGGACAACACAUUAAAAAACUGCACAGAAUGUGAUAUAGGGUAUCACGGUGCCCUUUGUCGGGAAAAAUGCCCUUAUCCAAGUUAUGGAGAGGGUUGUUCAGAAACAUGUCAGUGUGGUGAAAAUCUUUGUAAUUUUGUGAGAGGAUGUGAAG